rnacentral:rRNA from 1 species
GACGAACGCUGGCGGCGUGCUUAACACAUGCAAGUCGAACGGAAAGGCCCUGCUUGCAGGGUACUCGAGUGGCGAACGGGUGAGUAACACGUGGGUGAUCUGCCCUGCACUUCGGGAUAAGCCUGGGAAACUGUGUCUAAUACCGGAUAGGAGCCAUUCUUAGUGUGAUGGUUGGAAAGGUUUUUUCGGUGUAGGAUGAGCUCGCGGCCUAUCAGCUUGUUGGUGGGGUAAUGGCCUACCAAGGCGGCGACGGGUAGCCGGCCUGGGAGGGUGGACGGCCACAUUGGGACUGAGAUACGGCCCAGACUCCUACGGGAGGCAGCAGUGGGGAAUAUUGCACAAUGGGCGCAAGCCUGAUGCAGCGACGCCGCGGGGGGGAUGACGGCCUUCGGGUUGUAAACUCCUUUCGCUAGGGACGAAGCUUUUUGUGACGGUACCUAGAUAAGAAGCACCGGCUAACUACGUG